CAUGCUCACUGAUUUUGUCCCUGUCACGGAGACAGUGACAGACACACGAGAGACGACUCACUAGUCGGCAGCCGCUAGAGCACUAGAAGAUUUACUUUGCAAAAAGUACUGCUUACAGAGUGGUGUUUGUGGGGACGGCCUAAGUAGGAAAGAAAAGGUGCUGUAACGUAUAAAAGAACAAAAGGAAAUGCCAGGAAAACAAAAA